rnacentral:lncRNA from 1 species
UCUAGGGAUGGUAAGAUUUGGGCAAUUGGGGAGAUUUGACUUGAGGGAAUCGAGGAAGAAGAGAAAAGAGAAAAGAGAGAAAGAGGAUUAGAUUACGUUACGCCUGAAAGUGGGAGGGGAAGGAUCAUCCUCAUUAGAUUGUGAUCGUGCAGGGAAGGCGGGAGAAGAGCGACGUUCCCGCUAAUUAAGCGCCAUCUAUAUCAACA